AGCUGCUGUGACAACGCUCUCUGGUCGCGGAGGAAAGUUUUAGGUGAGAACGAGAGAGGUUUGUAGUCGAAAAAGAGCCGAGAUAAAUUACUUGCAGUUUCAGAAGAGUGAAGGCACAUUGCUGUUUUGAAAGACCAACACGACGUGUCUAGCCUCUGAACAAGACUGAAUCGGUGGGGAGAUUGUUUACUGGGAAAUAGUGUUUACUGGACGGCUCGACAGCUACUCAUUUAAGGGCAAGGAGUUAUAACUGAAGAUGCAGUUCAGCCUGAUUCUAAACUCUUUUUUCUGUUUCACAAUAUGGAUGAACUUGGUUCAAGCAAGCGAUGCACCUCCUAAUGGUUGUCCAUGUACUGUGGUCUCCAAAACAAGAAUCCAUCAUUCUUAUAUUGAGAAGUACACCAUUUAGAAGUACGAGAUAUGUACCAUUAGUGCAAUUGCGUUUCGUACAGUGAAAGGAAAGACGAUUUGCUCCGAUCCCAAUGAUGAAUGGGCAAAACAUGUCAUUCGGCAGCUGGAGAAAAG